rnacentral:rRNA from 1 species
AUUGAACGCUGGCGGCAGGCCUAACACAUGCAAGUCGAACAGUAACAGGAAGCAGCUUGCUGCUUCGCUGACGAGUGGCGGACGGGUGAGUAAUGUCUGGGAAACUGCCUGAUGGAGGGGGAUAACUACUGGAAACGGUAGCUAAUACCGCAUAACGUCGCAAGACCAAAGAGGGGGACCUUAGGGCCUCUUGCCAUCGGAUGUGCCCAGAUGGGAUUAGCUAGUAGGUGGGGUAACGGCUCACCUAGGCGACGAUCCCUAGCUGGUCUGAGAGGAUGACCAGCCACACUGGAACUGAGACACGGUCCAGACUCCUACGGGAGGCAGCAGUGGGGAAUAUUGCACAAUGGGCGCAAGCCUGAUGCAGCCAUGCCGCGUGUAUGAAGAAGGCCUUCGGGUUGUAAAGUACUUUCAGCGGGGAGGAAGGGAGUAAAGUUAAUACCUUUGCUCAUUGACGUUACCCGCAGAAGAAGCACCGGCUAACUCCGUG